ACAUAAGACGUUUACUUGGGGUCUUAAGAAUUGCAACCCACAGAAUGAGAGAAAAUAUUUGCAAAUGAAGUAUCUGACAAGGGAUUAAUCUACAACAUUUAUAAACACCUCCUGCAGCUCAAUACCAAAAAAACAAACAACCCCAUCAAAAAAUGGGCAGAAGGUCUAAACAGACAAUUCUCCAAAAAAGACGUAUGACGGCCAAAAACACAUGAGAAGAUGUUCAACAUCACUCAUUAUUAGAGAAAUGCAAAUCAAAGCCACUAUGAGGUACCGCCUUACACUGGCCAGAAUGGCCAUCAUCAAAAAGUCCACAAACAAUUAAUGCUGGAGAGUGUGGAGAAAAGGAACCCUAUUACACUGUUGGUGGGAAUGUAAAUUGGUGCAACCACUCUGGAAAAUAGUAUGGAGGUUCCUCAGAAAACUAAAAAUAGAACUACCAUUUGAUCCAACAAUCCCACUCCUGGGUGUCUAUCCAGAGAAAACCACUACUCAAAAGAUACAUGUACUCCAGUGUUCAUUGCAGCACUAUUUGCAAUAGCCAAGAGACGGAAACAUCCUAAAUGUCCAUCGACAGAGGAGUGGAUAAAGAAGAUGUGGUCCAUAUACACAAUGGAAUAUUACUCAGCCAUUAAAAGGAAAGAAAUAAUGGCAUUGGCAGCAACAUGGAUGGACCUAGAAAUUAUCAGGCUAAGUGAAGUCAGUCAGAUAGUGAGACACCACCACCAAAUGCUAUCACUUACAUGUGGAAUCUAAAGAAAAAGGACACAAUGAACUUCUUUGCAGAACAGACCGAUGGUUUCCAAAGGAGACAGGAUGAGGGGUGGGGGGAUGGGCUGGGGUUUGGGGUGGGAAUGCUAUAAAAUUGGGUUGUGACCAUCGUUGUACAACUAUAAAUGUAACAAAAUUCAUUGAGUAAUUAAAAAAAGAAUUGCACUCCAGGAGACCCAGAUUCAGAUGCAACUACUUUCUCCAAGGAAAAGAAAGGAUCAGAGCUUACAAAGACAGACAGCCAGGCAAGGAGAAAAACAGGGAAAAAAGCAACGAGGCUGUUACAAUUUGCCUGGUGGUGGUUGUUCCUAUCGUGGCUCAGUGGGUGGCUCAUAGUGUCCCUGAGGAUGCAGGUUUGAUCCCUGGCCUUGCUCAGCGGGUUAAGGAUCUGGUGUAGCCAUGGCUGUGGUGUAGCCCUCAGCCGCAGCUCUGAUUCAACCCCCAGCCCAGGAACUUCCAUAUGCUGCAGGUGUGGCCAUAAAAAAUAAAAAGUUGCAGGGUGAGUGAGAGACAGAUGCCAGUCAGAAAAUACUCAUCCUUAAGGAAUAUCCUUAUGGCAUCGUAAGUGGUUCAGGGCAGGGGUCCAAUAAAUAGACAGACUGCUCCAAGUUAUUUUAGGGUGAGAGUCCGAUAAGUAUCUUGAGUUUCUGGCAGGUGUUCUGGACACUUCAUCAGGUCAAAGGUGAGAUUCCAUCCAGGCUGAGGCUUGUCUGUCACCUUCCUCUGUGGCCUCGUGGCUCCAUGUCACAGAACUCUCGCAACAGGACCAACUGCAUUUAGGCUUUCCUUCCACAGAUGGGAAGGGAGACAGCGACCCAGAGCAGAAAUCACACAUGACGAAACAACCCUAGCGAUUAUACCUGCAAAACCCAACAUCUGUUCGGUUGACACGAAGUGGGCCUGUGUGUUUACACGUACAGUGAAUUCUUGUUUUCUGCAGGUUACCUGCAAGUUGCCGCAAACACUGGAUUAGGAAGACUGAGGCUCUGCUUCCGAGGGAGACACAGGUCGGGGUCCUUCAAGCCUGACAGCACUUUCCUCAGUGGAUCAACCCAUAGCCUGGUCUGCUCUGUGCGCCUUACUGAUUCCUUAACAUGUAACUCACAGCCACCAGCAUGUAACUCAGCCAGAACGAAGCUUUUCCAAUACAUUUUUUCGCCAUAAGGCAGGUCGAAGCCGUCUUGUUCUUAGGACGCUGGACAGCACAGCAGCACUAGACUUGAGAUCUAUUAAAUUAAUUAAGUAAUUUUUGGCAGCACCUGUGGCAUAUGGAGGUUCCCAGACCAGGGGCUGAAUCGGAGCUCUGCCGGCCUACACCACAGCCACAGCAAUGCAGGAUCUGAGCUGUGUCUGUGACCUACACCACAGCUCACGGCAACGCCAGAUCCUUAACCCACUGAGUGAGGUCAGGGGCGGAACCCGCAAUCUCAUUGUUCCUAGCUGGAUUCGUUUCCGCUGCGCCAAGAGGGGAGCCCCAGGGUUCCACAUUUUCAAAGCUGGAAAAUGAGCUGAGUAAAAAAAAAAAAACACUUCUCACAAGGAAAAAGGAAUAAGGCAGCCUUUUGCCUUUUCUUCUGAGGUAUUUUGAAGUAAAACUGACCUUAGAACAACAGAUUUGAACCGCCUGGGGCCACUUACACGUGGAUUUUUUUUUUCGAUAGUGAAUACUACAGCACUGUGGGAUCCUCUGUGGGUUGAACCUGAGGAUGCAGGACCAAGGAUACAGAGGAGCGGAGGAUGUGGUUGAAGAGGCUGUGCACGAACCACACGCAUGGAGAGCUGGCUGGAGGCUGUACACCCACUCUAAACUACAGGGAGGGCCGGAACCCCAACCCCCACAGGGUUCAAGGUCAACUGUUAUAUCUAUUCUUGUUUCACCUUGAAAAGUAGGUGAGUAUAACUGUCCAGCUCCCAACGCCGCACCACAGGAGCAGGGCUGAAGUCAGAGCACAGAACUGCUGGCCCCCAAGGCCUGCCCGCUGUCUCCUUUCAAGCAAAGAUAUUUUGAGAACUGCAGUUCAGAACCGAACUCCUGCCAGUACCCUCACACUGGCCCCCAGCAUUCUUCUGCUGUCAGGUCUGGACGCAGGUCUGUGGCACUGGAGCUCCAGGCUACAGAACCAGUUCCCGCGUCUGAGCCCUGGACCUCGGUCUGCAGGCCUAGACGUCGAUCGGGUCAAAGUCCUGGACGUGGGUCUGAGCACUGGGCCUGAGGUCUACAGCACUGGUUCUCGCUCUGCAGUACUGGAUGUGGGUCUGCAGCAUUACAUGUCGGGCCCGCAGGGGCAGACUUCUGGUCCGGGCACUGGAUCCCGGGUCCGCAGGCCCGGACGUGGGUCCGAGGCACAGGUGCAUUCAUUCAACAAACGCGAGCUGUGCGCCCGCUGGGCCAGACUCCCGUGGGUGGGAGGCAGCGACUGCUGGACCCGAGCGCGGGUGACCCGCGGCUCUCCGCUUCCCUGCGUGACCGCUUCCGCCCCGGGGCCAGGAGGAAGCCAGCGCAGCGCGGAGACGCAGCCCGACG
ensembl:lncRNA